ACUUGAGGGCAGCUGAGGAGAGUGGCAUUCGAUGUGUAGCGGGGAAAUGCGUAGAUAUAUGGAGGACCACCAGUGGCGAAGGCGGCUCUCUGGUCUGUAACUGCCGCUGAGGCUCGAAAGCGUGGGGAGCAAACAGGAUUAGAUACCCUGGUAGUCCACGCCGGAAACGAUGAGUGCUAAGUGUUGGAGGGUUUCCGCCCUUCAGUGCUGCAGCAAACGCAUUAAGCACUCCGCCUGGGG
rnacentral:rRNA from 1 species